CUUCACCGACCCCAACCACAACGGGCGAUCCGGAUCCCGCUGGCCAUACGUCGCCAGCAACGCCUGUGCCUC
rnacentral:antisense_RNA from 1 species